CGAACUUGUAAGAUGAUCCAAGUAGCCGAACAUUACAAUAAGAUCCACACGCGGAUGAUAUGAUGGCGGUUCUCCACAUAACAUCAUCAAAAACUUCCACAACAUCAUCAGACACCCAACUAUCCACUCUUUGUACAGGAGGAGGAGGUCUGACAAGCUCUUCAUGUACCCUAUCAGUAGCUUCCCCAUGCUCCGGGACAUAAUGAUCAUAUCUGACAGUGUAACUAUGCCCUUUACCAGAGAUAAUUUCCCCGCCACACCAUGCAGUCAAUGAAUCCACUUCCUUCAGCACCUCCACCUUGCUCCCUGGUUUGAAUCUCAUGAUGAGUAUGAAUUGAGUCUCACAAAUCUGCCAAAGUCAUGUUGUUAGAAUUUCUCUUCCAAAUAUAAAUCCACUCAUAAGAAAUCACAAUAUUGAUAAGCACUAAGCAGAGAAAUUAUAUUUCAUUUAAAAUUUACUAUCAGUUUCUCACGAUAAUACACAAUGUUCAAAACGUGACAUCAAGAACCACUAUCUAGAAGUAAAAACUAACAUGUACGAAAAAGAUCAAUUAUUUAAUCAAUUCCAAGGAAACUGCUAAUAACUUGAAAAAACAACAUAUCCAUUAAUUUACAUAGAAACAAUAUCUAAGGCACGACAUAUCGACUUAAUGACAGUUGACUUAAUUCCAACUCUCCAGAAUUCGCCCAUCCCUGUAAACAAAUUGAGAACAUAUAGGUUAGAUAAACAAAAAACUAAAGCUGCAUUUUGUCAGAAACAGGAAGGUAAUUAGACAACAAACAAAGAUGGUGAAACAAUGACCAACAGAAUACAUGAUACACUUAAAAUAUUUUUUGUACUUAGAUAUAAUCAGGAUAUCAGGUAAUUUAGUACUACUUUAAAUAGAAAUCAAAAUGCACACUUUUGCUAGAAAUAUUUCAGUUCUGCCUAAAAAAAUAGGACCAGAUAGAAAGCAAAAUGCAAACAUUAGCUCAAUUUAGAAUGAUGAACACCAAUAGAAAACAAAAUUCAAUAACUACGUCAAUGAGAUACUUUGUUUAAAGGUCACAUGCACAAAUCUUUUAAGUCAAGGACAUAACAUUCAUUAUGCAGUAAAACAAAUUCAAUCUCAAAAGACCCAUAAAUUGUGUUAAUAAAGAACUAAAUACUUUCUAGACAUACUUGCUGAAACUGAUAAUAGAUAUUACCUUGCCCAUCAAAAGCCAUUUAUCAUUUUUCCAAGACUGUCUAAGCCGGAUAUUUGAUAUGUGUACUCCGAACUUGUAAGAUGAUCCAAGUAGCCGAACAUUACAAUAAGAUCCACACGCGGAUGAUAUGAUGGCGGUUCUCCACAUAACAUCAUCAAAAACUUCCACAACAUCAUCAGACACCCAACUAUCCACUCUUUGUACAGGAGGAGGAGGUCUGACAAGCUCUUCAUGUACCCUAUCAGUAGCUUCCCCAUGCUCCGGGACAUAAUGAUCAUAUCUGACAGUGUAACUAUGCCCUUUACCAGAGAUAAUUUCCCCGCCACACCAUGCAGUCAAUGAAUCCACUUCCUUCAGCACCUCC
rnacentral:lncRNA from 1 species